rnacentral:misc_RNA from 1 species
GCUAGGGAAUAUUUGGGUUUAGAGAUGCUUGAGGGUAAGGAAAAGGUAUGUGAUUAUGCAUGGAGAAACACUCAAGUUAUGGGCAGAUUAUUCCAGCAAAUAGUAACUGAAUGAGCUACUUUUGGGGAUUAUUGACUUGCAGGCUCAUGUGUUCUGGUACUGGACUUUUAGAGGAUGUGUUAGUGAUUUAGAGCAUAGGUAAACAAGGGCUGUGCUGCACAAAUUUGAAGAAGAGAAUAGUGUGAAUUUUGGAGGAAAAGAUAGCUGGUAUUUUAUAUCAAGGAGUUGUUUACUUUUUUUUUCAAUGUACAGUACAACAUAGAUAUUCUUUGGAUUUUUGUGACAUUUUAGCGUCUAGAAUCUUGAUUGCAAUUAUAUUUCUUUCCCCUCUCAUCUAUUAUUAUGAAGUACCAUCU